rnacentral:rRNA from 1 species
UACGUAGGGCGCGAGCGUUGUCCGGAUUUAUUGGGCGUAAAGAGCUCGUAGGCGGCUCGUUGCGUCGGCUGUGAAAACCCGCAGCUCAACUGUGGGCUUGCAGCCGAUACGGGCGGGCUGGAGUUCGGUAGGGGAGACUGGAAUUCCUGGUGUAGCGGUGAAAUGCGCAGAUAUCAGGAGGAACACCAAUGGCGAAGGCAGCUCGCUGGGACGGUACUGACGCUGAGACGCGAAAGCGUGGGGAGCAAACAGG